rnacentral:rRNA from 1 species
UCAUUGCACACACAUUUGCGUAAUGCCAACCCCUUUUGCGAACUUUACCACUGUCCCACCCCCAACUGGCUCCGGCCAGCCCGAGUCUCCUGACUCUGAUCGGACACCUAGCCGUGUUUGGUUGGAUGUGGGGACUCGGUGUUUUGGGAACUCCAUUUACAAACAUUGGAUGGCGCAAUGCAUCAACACUUCAAAAUUUGACUGAGUAUGAUACCAAGGAGAGCAACCGCGGUUUGAGGGUCACCACUCACCCCCCCCAACUCCUACCCGGGAGGCUGGCGUGGAGUGGAGUGAGUGCGUGGUGCCCCGGCCCCGGGAGUUCGAGUUGUGUUAAGUGAUAAACAAAAACAACUCUCAGCAACGGAUAUCUUGGCUCCUGCAACGAUGAAGAACGCAGCGAAAUGCGAUACGUAGUGUGAAUUGCAGAAUUCCGCGAAUCAUCGAGUCUUUGAACGCAAGUUGCGCCCGAGACGAAAGUGUCGGGCAUUUCUGGCAGAGCGUCACCGCGCCACCCACCGACCCCCCACCCGCAUGGAGUGCGGGCCGAGUGGAACUGGCCGUCCCAGUGAGAACCGCUGGGUCGGCUGAAAUGGAGGGAAUUUUCGACCCCGCCGCGGCGACACAGCCCGCGAUCAGGUGAUCCCGCACCCCCGCAAGGGGAGAAGGGAAAGUGUUGGUUGGCUGUGUUCGUCCCCCAGGAGUUGGAUUCCGAAGCAGGCAGGCAGGCCCCGAAAAGGGCCGCGUCACGCAUCAGACCUCUGAUCAGGAAAGACUACCCGCUGA